GAGCCCAAUGUCAUUUUGUUUCAUCCGGUAUGGGUGUCAGCGGGCUCCUAACUGUCGCUCUCCAUGUUCCAGUGUUUAGAGAUCCACGGACCAGGCCAAACUACGUAGGUAUCAUUCAUGGUGUCAUGGAAGAUCAGCAUAUGUCUGUGCACAUGAGAAUUGGACAUGUUGCCAUUGGAAUCAACAUCAGUGCUUAUCAUAUCUCUCUAAAUAUGAUCUUGUCUUGGAACAGCAUGGUACUCUUUGCGCAUCUGUCAGUCUGCAGGUUGUGAUUUGGCGAUACGUCAUCACUCUUGGACAUUCUAUGAGAGUUACUUGAUGGAUGAAAAGAAACAGUUGGUGUCUGUGAGCUAUUUGGGAAGGCUAUUUGGACUGUAUGGCCUUCCAUAUCAUCUGUUGUGAGAUCAGGAUUUCAACUUCAUUUUUAUAACAGACACUUGCAAACAUGGGACAUCUAUCACAGACGCCCCCAUGGUUUUGCAGGUUAAAAUAGACCCCAAGACUCGAUUGUGUACAGACCACCGAAACAUAGAUGGGAUGUAGCUGCCUGUGGCGUUUUACAACAAAACGAAGUAUACUUUUCUUUUAAUAUCAAUUUAACGCCGAUUGUGCAUUGGGUAUGUGUUAUUAUAUCUGGUGUCUGAAAAUGAUGUUAUAACCUUACAUUUAUGAUUUAUCAAUAAACAUAUGUAACAUGAA